GCACGAUGGCGCACGCGCGGUUCCGUGUAAGUCAUUGUUCAGAGCGCGACGCUCUGCCUGAACAUCAACACGCAUCGCUUGCCGUAUGGUUUUGGAAACAUUAAGGACCUUAUCUGUCAUAUUGGCGCGUAUUUUUUUUGUAAACAAAACGUUAAAUUGAUAGACCUUUAUCGGGUUAGGGUUCCCAAAUGGCCAUAUUUCAAUGUAACAGCGCUUGUUUCGAAAACAAAGUUAAGAUAGUUAAUUAGCACAGGUAUGCAUGUAAACGGAAGACAGAACAAUACUGUAGGCUGCAACUGUGUCAAAACAGUGUACAUUUUGCGUGCACGCUAGUUACCUGGCAGAAGUUGUCGCAAUAUUCGGUGGAAGAUAUUUCCGAAAUGUCUUGUUGCCAGAGCGUUGCUUCCAGCGCUCUCAAGGUAGUCAGCAAGCCUUCCGUGGCGACGAAAGUUUCCUCGGCAGUAUUAGACAGCCGAUUACUCCAGUCGGGUGCUGGUUCAACAUCACUAUCCGCCAUCCUCACUCCCCGCCACCGCGCGUAUGCAGCCUGUCAUGUGAUCGGCGUGCACUCACCACUGCUCCAGUACACAUCCAGAACUGUACUUGCUAGCAGUGAAUUGCUAGUGAGGAGUGCCGGUAGAGCAUCAUGUCUCAGCUUCCUAAAGAUAAAUCUGGCUUCCAAAAACGGAAAGACCGGAGAAAGAAAAGAAAGGGCGACAGCAUGUCAUUCAAUUUUUCACAGAGGAAGGUGUAUAUGUCUUCGGAUGGCCCUACCAGACUUUGUGUGGGCAGUGUUGAUUACAUCAGGAGGUGCUUGACCUGAGAUGUUUGGAUCUUCUUGUUGAGGUGCAGCAUUCAACUCUAGAUUGUGUUCAGUACCCUGCUGGGCGUCAGCUGGUGCUCUGUUUACUGGCUCUUUGCCAGGCUCCUCAACAGUGGGGAAAUCCUUUAUUUCACUGCUCUUCCUCAGGUGUCGCCUGUACCUCCUGAAGACUUGGCCCUGUUCUGUCUUCACCUCGUAGGACCUUUGCUCCACAGGUCUGACUACUGUGGCCCUCUGCCACCACUGUUUCUGUCCUGUGAGUGGCUGAACUCACCCUGUCAUCUCGUUGCAGCUCUGUGAGAUCUUGAGCGGAGGUGUCGUAGUACUCCCAAAGGGGGAGGAGUUAGCCUGUAAAGUAAUGUAAAGUAAUGUCAUACUUUCCAGGUCCAUACCCAAAUAGUUC